GAUUACUACAACACCAGAUGCAGGUGCAGGUAAAGGUUACUCGACGUGAGCGCGUUGAUUGUUCAUUUGAAGUUGCUUCUUCUUCUUCUUCAUCGAUCUAGGAUGGGUUCCAGGCCGGCAGCCUGGGAUAGCAAGGAUGGACGUCGUUCUUCUUUUAUCGUUUGUUUUCGUCCGUAGUCGGACCCUGCUCUUACUCUUGAUGUUUAUGUAAUGUACUGAUGUGAC
rnacentral:lncRNA from 1 species